UGUCCAGAGGGCAGGAGCAGCCAAGACCAAGGGCGGGCUGGCUGCAGAGUAAACUGGGAGGGAGUCCAGCAGCCCGGACCCCUGAGAGCCCCAGCCACACGUCCAUGUGCUCGAGAUGGCACCAAGAGGCAGGGUGAUGAUGGCACAGGGAGGCCGGAGUUUACUUGGAGGGACCCAAGGUCCCCAGAGUCCUGUGUUUGAUUCCUACAGCCGGCAGGAUGAAAUCAGAUAGGCUACCGAGUUCCAGACUCUCCAGAAAAAUCAAAGAGGGAAUCAAGAUUGCAGAGCCCUGGCAAGAAGUAGUACUACAAAAUACUGCAGUCCAUGGACCUACCUCCACACAACUUUGACCAUGACUCUGGUGACCGUCACCAGCUCCCAAUCUGGGGACUCUGAGCUGGGCUUGGGCCUCGGGUGCCCAGCAGCUGGGGGAGCCAGCAGGCGGAACGCCCAGCCCUGUUUCAGUGGGCAAGCCUCUGCAGCCUGUUUGGAGGGAAUCUGGGAGAUGUCUACCUUAGGAAAUCAUUCCAGCACCAUCCACAGAAGUCAUCGUCCCACCAGGCGUUGGAGCAUGCACACUACAUGCCUUCCCCUGGUGGGCCCUCAUGGUGACCCCGACUUUGUUUGGAGAGUCUUUGCUCAAGACCACAGAGCAGAAUUCACUGGUUGUUAAGCAAACGUUCGUGGAGCUCCCAUGGUGUGCCUGGCAACGGCAGGAUUUCUAUAAAGAAAACCCACGAGGUCCAACAAGAAAAGCAUCAGGUCUCUCAGAGAACUUUUCCUAAAGGCAGGAGUGAGAAAGAGUUAGUGGGGUGGGCUGGGGUGCACGCUUGGCUCUUCGAUGGGGCAGGGAGCGCCUACCUGCAGCCUGGACCCAGCCCCACCUGGACUUCUGGGCCAUCUCGGGGCAGCCACCUUGCCUCUCUGGGCCUCCUUCCCCUCCACCGCUGUACUCCCCGGACCGCUCAGAGACCCCGGAGGUCCCUCCCUGAGCCCAUCCUGGCAGCUGGUCCCAGGCGGGCUUCCGGGGAGGCCCGGGCCGGCGGCAUCAAAGCGCCCGGGCGAGCCCCACCUCCCCAGGCUAAGAGUAACCACUUGCAACCCGAGCCGCGGGAGCCGCGGGAGCCGCGGGAGCCGAGAGAAUUCUAGAAGAUCAUGUGCAGGAACAGCGUUAGUGUGGGCCUGAUGUGCAGACACAGCUCAGAACGUGGCGAUUCUCUCCCUUGUUGAUAACGGUAAGUGAAAAUGCGUGCUGUUCUACAGGUGACCCUGAGGAUGCGACGCUAAGUGGCAGAAGCUAGUCACAGAAGGACAAAUCUUGGGUGUGAGUCCACUGACAUGAGGUCCCUGGAAUGUGAAGUUCAAAGAGACGGAGGAGAGAAUGAGGGACACCAGGGGCCAGGGGAGCAGGGAGUUCAUGUCU